rnacentral:rRNA from 1 species
UACAGAGGUGGCAAGCGUUGUUCGGAUUUAUUGGGCGUAAAGAGCUCGUAGGCGGCUUGUUGCGUCGACCGUGAAAACCCGCGGCUUAACUGUGGGCUUGCGGUCGAUACGGGCGGGCUGGAGUUCGGUAGGGGAGACUGGAAUUCCUGGUGUAGCGGUGAAAUGCGCAGAUAUCAGGAGGAACACCGGUGGCGAAGGCGGGUUGCUGGGCUGAUACUGACGCUGAGGCGCGAAAGCCAGGGGAGCGAACGGG